UCUCAAAGACAAUGUAGGAUGGGUUUCUAAAUAUGAGAAGUGAAUAAGGUCAAUUACAGAUAGCAGGAUAAUUUUUCUUGAGUUUGGAUGAGGCAAGGCUGGAGCAGCUAGCAUUGCUGUCAGUGCUUUAUGAUAUUAAUCAUGACAUCUACUGCAAUGUGAUUUCUAUGCUUUGUACUUUUCAAAUAAGAAGUUACUAGGAGUUGAUAGCUGAGUUGCGUCAAACCUCUUUCUUCUUAAGAGUCGAAGGCGCUGGAAUCACCGGAAAGAUUAAGCUAAGCUGUUACACCGGAAAAAGUGAUUGAAAGGUUAACAAUCAUGGAUCAUGCAACCAAGCAUUUCGUGGUGUCAAAGGAAGAAGUCAUAUAGAGGGGAUGGUGGAAGUGAGGUUGUAUGAAGUGAGAAGAAAUUAAAAAAGAAGGCUUUGGAGGUAAUUUAUUAGAAGACAAAGAUGAUGCAACAAGAAGAGUAAUGGGCAAACGAUUUAAAGUGGUUUAAUCUUUUGAAGGUAAUUUAUUAGAAGACAAAGAUGAUGCAACAAGAAGAGUAAUGGGCAAACGAUUUACUGCGGUUUAAUCUUUUGAUAUGCAUGCAUUAUAAGGAUAAUAUUUGCAAUCACCAUAUUGUAUUCCAUGGCAAAAUGGAUAUAGCUUGAAGUAAGCAAUUUUCCACUUGAAAAUAAUUUUCUGCCAACUUUUUGGUUCUGCUGAAGAGGGAUGCUGAGAAAACACUUAUCUAAAGGAUCUUGGAGACAAGGUUAUAAAGAGCAAGUUAGCUGCCAAAUGUUUUCUUUUUGGGGUCAUCUGGAGAGAGAAGGGGAGGAAACUUGUACGGAGAGGAUGAUAGAGACAGAGUUUGUAAGGAGGAAGUGAGGAGAUGCAGAAGAAAGCUUUGUAUGCAGCAGCUUGGUUUUUUUAUUCAAUAUGCAACGAAGCAAAAUAAUCCCUAGUAGAAUCAUGCUCAAAGGUCAUACCUUGUUAGUUUCUUUAAAGUUUUCAGUUGGAUAUGGAAUUCAGGUAUUAGCCUUCUUUUAAAGCCACUUCCACUCCAUUGCACUUGCCCUUUUCGUUGUCUGCCUACCAGUUUGAAAAGCAAACUAAUGUGCUUUUUAUUCAUUGAUGUGGCUGAAUAAAAAGUCAAAUUUACAUGCUAUGGUUAAUUAUGCUUUUUGAAUGGUUAUGCUAUUCUAAACUCAAUUCACCUUGUGAAGUUGGAAGUAAUGCAUUGUGAAAUUAAAAUCAACCAUUUUGC